GCCACCGUAGCUCAGUCGGUAGAGCGGCUGACUUGUAAUCAGCAGGUCGGGGGUCCAAUUCCCUCCGGUGGCU
rnacentral:tRNA from 1 species